UACGUAGGGUGCGAGCGUUAAUCGGAAUUACUGGGCGUAAAGUGUGCGCAGGCGGCUUCGCAAGUCGAGUGUGAAAUCCCCGAGCUUAACUUGGGAAUUGCGCUCGAAACUACGGAGCUGGAGUGUGGCAGAGGAAGGUGGAAUUCCACGUGUAGCGGUGAAAUGCGUAGAGAUGUGGAGGAACACCGAUGGCGAAGGCAGCCUUCUGGGCCAACACUGACGCUGAGGAGCGAAAGCAUGGGGAGCGAACAGG
rnacentral:rRNA from 1 species